AUGGAUUACAACCCUGAGAAGCAGGGAAGUUCAAGGGAACAACAGGUGCACGACACUAUCAUUGCUGGACAAAAUUGAGGUUGAACAGAAAGAUGCCGCACAGGGAACGAGCAUGUCACUCAAACUGUUUGACCGGAAAACCUGGAGCAAGAGGAAACUUCCGCACAAGACUACAAAAAAAAGUAGACGUAGAAGUCCAUGUAUACGGGAGAGCACCUUUGGUGGAAGAGGCUUGUCGGCCGACACUGUUAUUUGAUUCACCUUGGGGUUGACAGUUUUGUUCCUGAGAACUUCAUGUGCGUACAGCGGGGCAGAAUCAACAAGUUAGUCAACAAUUUGAUGCAGCCUUUCUGGACACAAGAUGGAACGGCGACUAGGUUGCUAUUCAGGGCAAACCGUAGCAGAGAGCAGGCAUUCAUGCGCUCGUCACAGGCAACACCAGAGAAAUUGGACUCCAUUACAUAAAUGGCAUGCCACAUUGAGGGCCUACAUUGAGGGCCACCAGACUAACCUUGUAAAAGAAGCAAAGCUAGAACUAGUCAGGUGAAUCUUUGGAGAUUUGGUUUUGGAGAUGUUGCCCAGCAAGGCAAAAACAGAAAAGUGACACAAUAAAGAAAAUAAAUCUGGGAA